rnacentral:lncRNA from 1 species
CUUCGCUGGACUUCUUCUGUAUGGGAACAGUGGCCUUGAAAAUGAGUCGGUCUUCACUUCCAGGCCUGGCUGGCGGGCUUCCCAGGGGGUGCACUGUCCAUCAGAGGUGACUUGGGGACCCCUGGAGGACUCCGGGUCAGCGACUGCAGAGCGCCGGGAUCCUGAAGGCGUCUGGGGUCAGUUUCCGGAAAUGGCCUUGCUAUGAGCUCCCCGCCCGAGGUCGGAGGAAGUUUCGCCGUCCUGACAUUGCGUUCACCCCUGAGGCGUCAGGGAAGGAACGAGGCGGCUGGCUCGUCCUCCCUUUGCGGAGGCUGCUCUCCUCCUGUGGAGGGCGCGUUUCCAGCCCAGGACCCCAGCGGCAGGCAGCGGCGGCACCACUGAGGUUCUUGCUGUGGAGCUCCCAAUCUUGCAGUGAUCCUCCUGUCUCAGCCUUCCAAGUGCUGGGAUUACAGGCAUGUCCCACCACACCCAGCUCUGGAAGGAAGGUGUUGCUGAAGUUGAAGAUGCCCAUUUUCGGAUUGAGACCCUCGGUUCUUCAUGACGAGCUCUCCGGAAGCCAGACAGCCUGGGUGCACUAGGAGGCCUUGUGGUAUUUCCCAGCAUCCCUUGGGAAUUAUGUGCCUCUUUGUUUUGGAAAGUGUGAUAGUUAACAGUGGUGUCAGCUUUAGGAAGAAAUGCCUGCUGAUUGGUUUAGCACGGUUCGGGUUGUGUCUGGAUGAUGGACAUACAGAAGGGGGAGGACUCACGCUGGGUGUGGGAGACACCAACCAAUGGGCUUCUACCCUGGGUGGAAUCAAAAGGGAAAGAAGGAAGUCUCCUUCUGUUGCUUCGGAGGAGCUCCAGUCUUCACCGUCACCUUUGGGCAUCCGUCUCCAGGCUUCCAGGACAGACCCUUAGGCUUCCUGACAGGAUUUGCAUGGGACUGCGAGGGGAGCUCCAGGCCUUUGACUUGUGACUGGGUCCUUUGGCUCUCCAGCGGGCAGAUGGCCCUUUUGCACUCUUCCACACCUGACUCUGUGGGCGGCCAUUAUAAGCCGACCUCGUAAAUCUCUAGUUAUUUAUC